rnacentral:rRNA from 1 species
CCUGGCUCAGGGAUGAACGCUGGCGGCGUGCCUAAUACAUGCAAGUCGAGCGAAUGGAUUAAGAGCUUGCUCUUAUGAAGUUAGCGGCGGACGGGUGAGUAACACGUGGGUAACCUGCCCAUAAGACUGGGAUAACUCCGGGAAACCGGGGCUAAUACCGGAUAACAUUUUGAACCGCAUGGUUCGAAAUUGAAAGGCGGCUUCGGCUGUCACUUAUGGAUGGACCCGCGUCGCAUUAGCUAGUUGGUGAGGUAACGGCUCACCAAGGCAACGAUGCGUAGCCGACCUGAGAGGGUGAUCGGCCACACUGGGACUGAGACACGGCCCAGACUCCUACGGGAGGCAGCAGUAGGGAAUCUUCCGCAAUGGACGAAAGUCUGACGGAGCAACGCCGCGUGAGUGAUGAAGGCUUUCGGGUCGUAAAACUCUGUUGUUUAGGGAAGAACAAGUAGCUAGUUGAAUAAGCUGGCACCUUGAC